GUGGGGAAUCUUGCGCAAUGGGCGAAAGCCUGACGCAGCCAUGCCGCGUGAAUGAUGAAGGUCUUAGGAUUGUAAAAUUCUUUCACCGGGGACGAUAAUGACGGUACCCGGAGAAGAAGCUCCGGCUAACUUCGUGCCAGCAGCCGCGGUAAUACGAAGGGGGCUAGCGUUGCUCGGAAUUACUGGGCGUAAAGGGCGCGUAGGCGGACAGCUUAGUCAGAGGUGAAAGCCCAGGGCUCAACCUUGGAAUUGCCUUUGAUACUGGCUGUCUUGAGUACGGGAGAGGUGAGUGGAACUCCGAGUGUAGAGGUGAAAUUCGUAGAUAUUCGGAAGAACACCAGUGGCGAAGGCGACUCACUGGCCCAAUACUGACGCUGAGGCGCGAAAGCGUGGGGAGCAAACAGGAUUAGAUACCCCUGUAGUCC
rnacentral:rRNA from 1 species